AGCCACUGAUGACAAACUUAGCUUUUCUGACACCUCGUAUGAGAGCGUAAUUACUGCUCCUGAUUCUAACUCUGAUCUGAGGCUC